rnacentral:rRNA from 1 species
UACGGGGGGGGCAAGCGUUGUUCGGAAUUACUGGGCGUAAAGGGCGCGUAGGCGGGAUGGCAAGUCGGUCGUGAAAUCCCUCGGCUCAACCGAGGAACGUCGAUCGAUACUGCUGUUCUUGAGGAUUGCAGAGGAGACUGGAAUUCCCGGUGUAGCGGUGAAAUGUGUAGAGAUCGGGAGGAACACCGGUGGCGAAGGCGGGUCUCUGGGCAAUUCCUGACGCUGAGGCGCGAAAGCGUGGGGAGCGAACAGG